rnacentral:lncRNA from 1 species
ACUGUAAGGUUGAGCAGCGAGCGGCGGCGGCGGCCGGUACGCGGGUUCGCCGCCAGGCAGGCGUAGGUGCCUGCGUGGCCCGGUCCGACCGCGGGCAGCAGGAGGCGCGACCCCGCGGGCACCGCGGCCUCGGCCGGGUCCGCCAGGCUCCACGUGAUGUCGGCGGGCGGCCGCGAGGCGGCGGCGCAGCGCAAGGUCACGUUACUGCCCGCGGUGACAAAGCGGGCAGGCGCGGCGUCGCGGUCCGAGGAGACCGUGAUGGUCGGCGGGUCCGGGCCGUCUGGAGGGAGGAGGGGUCGGGACCGCGAGUGUCAGGGUCACCUGGGACGCCGCUAGGACUCCCGGAGACUGGGUCCCCAGCCCGCUUCUCCCCAAGGACCCCCUGUCCCCGACCCGAGGCAUCCCCCACUCACAGAAGACGCUGACGUCGGCGGCAGCCUCCCUGUGGCCGAAGGGGCUGCGGACGCGGCAAGUGUACCGGGCGUGGUCGCUGCGCACAGGGCGCACGAUGAGCAGCUGGUCGCCCUCUGAGCGCAUCCGGGGCGUCUCGGCUCCCUCCGAUUCCGCCGCCUCCAGGGCGCGUCCGUCCCGGCUCCAGCUCAGCUCCCCGCGACCUGGCCCCCACCCCAGGCAGCGCAGCCGGAGCUCGGCCGCCCCCUCCUCUGUCUCUGGAGCCUUGGGCUGAACCGACAGCUGGGGGACCCCACAGCACCGUGACUUGCCCAAAGCCUGGCAGAGCAGAGCAGCCCCUGCCGCCUGCACGCCGGACGCCAGGGCCCACUUACCAUACACACCCACCGUGAACUCGUGAGUCUGCUGGGAGACCCCUGCCCGGAUGACCUCAGCCGUGUAGACCCCUGCAUCGUCCAGCUGGGCAGAGGCGAGCUCCAGAACCCCCCGGGCCUGGUCAAAUCGCAGGUGGUCUCGGAACUUGAGGAUCCGAAAUAUCAGGAAAUACUUCAGAACCAGGGGUUUCAGAGAAGGGGGAAACCGGGCUCAAAUCUUGGCCCUCAGCAGAAACAUUUGACCAGAAGGACCCAGACAUGUUGGAACUCAGGGCCUCAGGAAACCAGCUGGAAUCAGAGAUUCCAGCAGAGGCUUUUGAAUCCAGGAACUGAUCUGGAACUUUCCAGCUGGGAGGUUUGAUGGAGGGAACUUCCACACCCAGCCCCUGGGAAGAGCUCUUUGAGUCUGAAGAGAAGGCAGAGGAGAAGUUGGUUUGCUGAAGUCCAGAAGAGGCUCUGAGGGUGAGGAUCCCUACCAAGGAGGCUGCAGAGAAGAGAGGAAGGCAUUGGGGGAGGCUGCUGAGGGAGACUGACAGGGAAGGGACUGAGCAGGGAACUUACCCAGGAGUAGGAAGAGUGGCAGAGCCUGUGGGUUGUCCAUGGUGCUGGCCUCACUGAAAGGACACUGGAGAGAGACCCAGGACUGCACCCAUCCCUCCCGGGUCAGACGAGUCCAACAGGACUGGUAGCUUAGCUUCCUGGGAGGGGAAGGGAGCCAGACCCAGAGGGAGGUGCCAAGAUCCUCAACCCCAGUGUGGUGGCUGAGCUGCCCACCUCAUCCCACUCUCUUCAUUAGCUGGUCCCAUCUGCAGAGAGGCCCAGCCUGAUCCCUGCCCUCCCCACCCCCAGGGGGAAGCUGGAGAAAACAUUCCCAGCUAAAAAUGUGGGAGCAAAUUUGUGAGACAAAGCCAGGAAGACUUCCUGGAGGAGGGUGAGGUGACCUUUCCGAGAGCCCCACCUCUGAUGGCCACAGCUUCAGAGCAGGCUUCCUCCUCCCCAGCCUCCUGGCUCCUUCCACUCUGUCUUGCCUGCAGCCUCAGAUACAUCUGACCCUGCUCCUCCUCUGCUCCAAACCCUCCCACGGCUCUCUGUUGCCCUCAGAACCAAGUCUCCAGGUGCUAUCUCCUGCCAGGGCCUCUAUCCUGAGACCAGAGCUGCAUUUCCGCAUCCCCGAGGCCCUCACAUGGCCUGUGUCCCGCUAAACUCAGACUCUUUCCUCUAACCCAAACUUCCUCACACCUCCAGGAUGGCUUCACUGUCUUCGCAAAUGCUGGAGAACAUUCCCACCUCCUCCCUCCCUGUCACCACUGUCGAUCUGAGUCCAACCCUCCUCCCCCUAGUUCUCACUGGCCAGGCUCUGUCUUCUCUUCCUGCCCCGUCUCCCUCCUCUGCCCAGUCUCCUCCAUUCCCUGCCAGGGUCCUUCUAUACCCAGAGCUGAACCUGCCUCCCCCUGCUCACAGCCCUCCCCUGGCUCCCCAGUGCCCUCUGGAGACAUCCAAGGUUCAAAGCAAACUCAUGCACAGCCCCCACUCAAGCACUUGAACAUCCUGCCAUUCUUAUCCUGCCCGCCCAUCUCACCUCCCAGUCCUCUACCUGGAAUGCUCUCUCCCACUCUCCACCUCCCUCCAACCUGGCUAAACCACAACUUGUCCUUCAGGUCUCACCUUAUUAAGAACCAUAAUUACCACUUAAUUUGAGCCAGGAACUACGCUAAAUGUUUCCUAUGCACUAUCAGGCUGAACACUUCUAAACACCCUAUAAGCUGAGUGUCAUUAUACUCACUUUGCAGGCCAGGGGACUUAGGCUCAGAGAGGUCAAGGGACCUGCAGGAGGUUGCACAGCCAGAGGGAGAAGCUGGACUUGGGACCAGGAUGGUCAGACCAUUGACUCCUUCUGAUAGCUUUUCCCACCAUCCCAUGUGGAGCUUAGGGCCUCUGCUCAGCUCCCAGUCCUCUAAGCUUACCCUGGCCCAGUUCUCACCAGUAAUAAUACUGGUAAUAUAUAUAUAUUUUGAGAUGGAGUCUCGUUCUGUCACCCAGUGAGUGCCUCAGCUCACUGCAGGCUCCAUCUCCCGGGUUCAAGUGAUUCUCCCGUCUCAGCCUCUGCAGCAGCUGGGAGUAUAGGUGUGCAUCACCACACCAGGCUAAUUUUUGUUAUUUUUAGGAGAGAUGGGGUUUUGCCAUGUUGGCCAGGCUUAUCAUGAACUCCUGACCUCAAGUGAUCUGCCCGCCUCAGCCUCCCAGUGUUGGGAUUACAGGCGUGAGCCACCGUGCCCGGACUAAUAUUGGUAAUAAUAUAUAUUUAGCAUUUUUUGCAUAGCAGGUGUGGUUAUGGGGGUGCUACAUAAAUUAACCUUUCAAAACUCCAUGGAGUAGAUGAUGUAGCUUAAAGAGGGCUGCAAAUUUGAGCGUCCUCCUGUUAAGAUGCGGGGUCUAUGUCCCCUCUGCUUGGAUCUGAGUAGCUGUGUGACUGCUGGACCAAGACGUGGAAGUGGCCCUGUGCCAGGAUCUGCAUCUAGGCCGGCAUAUGCCACUUUCUGUAUCAUAGGACACUCCCUCAUGGAAUCCAGCCGCCACACUGCGAGGAUCAGCAGCCCCAUGGAGGGGAAUCAUGGCCCCUGGUCAGCAGCCCCAGCCAGCUUGCUGGCUAUGUGGGUGAGCCCUCUUGGAAGUCAAUCCCCUGGCCCCAUUUGAGGCACAUGAACUGAUCCUGAACUGGAUCCAGGAAUGGAUCCAGUGGGAUUUGACCCAGGGCCCUGGGACCCAGAACCCAUACCCUUAACCUCUACAUGAUGCUGUUACUAUUUUCAUCUGCAGAUGAGGCAACUGAAACUCAAAAUAGGAAGGAACUCACCCAAGAUCUAGCUGGCAAAGGUAAGAGUGAGCAUAUGAAAUCAAUAUAUCUGACUCUAUCAGAAGGCCAGAGGAAUGGAACACAAUUUUUUAAAUAAAAAAUUAGUCCAGGCGCUGUGGCUCACGCUUGUAAUCCCAGCACUUUGAGAGGCUGAGGCGGGCGGAUCACUUGAGGUCAGGAGUUCAAGACAGCCUGGGCAACAUGGUGAAACCCCGUCUCUACUAAAAGUACAAAAAUUAGCCGGGUGUGGUGGUGCAAGCCUGGGCAACAGAGCGAGACUCUGUCUCAAAAAACAUAAUUAAAAAAAAAUUAACCUGACUGUAGACCCAGGCUGUUCAUUGCAACGCUAAGUUUUGAUUCUCUGUGGCUUGUCUGUCUCACACCAGAACCACAGCUUCUGGCCUCAUUCUCUCCUGUGUCCCUGCUGAGACUGGGGACACAAGAGAGAAUGAGUGUCCUGCAAACAUCGUGGAUAAAAGCCCUUCUUCUCACCCACCUCACUGAUAUUUGUGUUCCAACACUCAACUUGGAAGUCAUCUCCCUGGGAAAUCUCUGACCCCACCGGCUGGGCCAGGCCAGGUCCCCCAGUUGGGUUCCCAAGGGCCCAGUGUGCCUCCACGUCUAGCAUACUUCACCCCGAAUUACAGCUGCCUUUGUCCUCAUUGUCCCCCGCAUCAAUACAGAGGCUCCUCAUGGGCAGGGACUGGAUCCACAGGGCCUGGCACACAAAAGACUCAAGUAAAUGUUGAAUGAACCAAAUAAUGGGUCUCUAGGAAAUAAGUUAACAGAGAUAGAUGUUGAGAGUCAGUUUUAUUGCCAUCUCUGGGAGGGGCUCAAAUCCGCCCAAUCUCCUUCAGCUUGGCCACCAGGUCCUCAGUGGUCUCCACCUUGACGCCGGCCGUGCGCUGGGGCGGGUCCUCCACACUGAUCACAGAGAGCUUGGAGGUCAGGUCCACACCCAGGUCCCCAGGCUUGAUCACCUCGAUCUUCUUCUUCUUGGCUUUCUGCACAUGGGAAGCCAUUGUUCACAGGGCUGUGGAACUCCUGCCACCCUUCCUGCCACCUCCUUCCCAUGGGUGCCAGGCCUGCAGACCAGUCCCAUGGGCUGAACCCUCUGGACCCACCCACUGGCCAGGACACGCGAAACUUCUCACAGGGCCACACCUGGUGUGGACAACUCCUGCUGGCUAGGAGGCCCUGGGAGGCCCAACUACUGCAGCAGUCCUCCUUUAGGUAACCAAAUCAGGAAGCCCUUCACUGGCUGCAACAGAGUGGCAAACCCAUCCUUUUGGUAGUAAUGACUCAGUGGACUUUUGGUUGAGAUGGCAUGCUGAAGGCUCCCAAUAGGCUGAGAUGAUGCACUGAACCCUCCCUAUAGACUGAGAUGAUGCG